GCAUUGCGCGCGACCCGGCGGCGGGACAGGCUUGCUGCUUCCUCCUCCUCGGCCUCACCAUUCCAGACCAAAAUUGAAAAAAUGGUUGACCUCACCCAGGUAAUGGACGAUGAAGUAUUCAUGGCUUUUGCAUCCUAUGCAACAAUUAUUCUUUCAAAAAUGAUGCUUAUGAGUACCGCAACUGCAUUUUAUAGAUUGAGAAGAAAGGUUUUUGCCAAUCCAGAAGACUGUGUAACAUUUGGCAAAGGAGAAAAUGCCAAGAAGUAUCUUCGAACAGAUGACAGAGUAGAACGUGUACGCAGGAUGGAGUGCAAUGGCAUGAUCUCAGCUCACCGCCACCUCUGCCUCCCGGAUUCAAGUGACUCUCCUGCCUCAGCCUCUUGAGUAGCUGGGAUUACAGAAAAAAUCAUCAGAAAAACCCUGUGCAGAUGAAGAGGCUUGCCACUUAAUGUACUGCACAGAUGUGAUCAUCAGCGGUUGCCGACAAUGAAAUAUACAAGUGCACACAAAGUGAUCUGGUGAACAAGAGGUGGAAUUUAAUCAUCUUCUGCUGACACUUUGCGAAA
rnacentral:sRNA from 1 species